rnacentral:rRNA from 1 species
AUUGAACGCUGGCGGCAGGCUUAACACAUGCAAGUCGAGCGAGCGGCGGACGGGUGAGUAAUGUCUGGGAAACUGCCUGAUGGAGGGGGAUAACUACUGGAAACGGUAGCUAAUACCGCAUACCAUCAGAUGUGAACAGAUGGGCUUAGCUAGUAGGGGGGGUAAUGGCGACCCUAGGCGAGGAUCCCUAGCUGGUCUGAGAGGAUGACCAGCCACACUGGAACUGAGACACGGUCCAGACUCCUCAGGGAGGCAGCAGGGGGGAAGAUUGCACAAUUGGCGAAAGCCUGAUGCAGCCAUGCCGCGUGGGUGAAGAAGGCCGUCGGGUUGUAAAGAACUUUCAGCGAGGUGGCGUUACUCGCAGAAGAGGAACCGGCUAACUCCGUGCCAGCCGCCGCGGUAAUAC